GUAAAUACAAAGACAAAGACUCAUACGGAGUUUAGCUACACCAUAAAAGCUUUGAGAAGCAAGAAUAAGCUUGGUUAGUGUUUUGGAGUCAAAUAUGACUAGAUGUCAUGUGUAUGAGUGAGUAUAACAAGCAGAACCUCAACCUGAUCUUAAAAGCCUAAGUAUUGUUCCCUUGUUAGAAGAUACAAAGACAAAGACUCAUAUGAAAUUCGACUACACCAUCAAU
rnacentral:sRNA from 1 species